UAUUUUAGUUGGAAGGGUUAAUAGCACAAUCAAAAAGGUGGUUUUCCUAGGAUGAGGGUCUUCCAUUGCAUACUUUGGUUGGGAUGAGUCCUGUGAUUUUCCCAAAUGUAGGAAACUCAACUGCAUAAUUUAUGCUAGUUAAAAAAAUGUAGAAUGAUAUUUGU